rnacentral:piRNA from 1 species
UCAGGAGUUUAUCGUGUUCCUCACGACGAC